CCUACGGGAGGCAGCAGUGGGGAAUAUUGGGCAAUGGGCGCAAGCCUGACCCAGCAACGCCGCGUGAAGGAAGAAGGCUUUCGGGUUGUAAACUUCUUUUCUCAGGGACGAAGAAAGUGACGGUACCGGAGGAAUAAGCCACGGCUAACUACGUGCCAGCAGCCGCGGGAAUACGUAGGUGGCAAGCGUUAUCCGGAUUUAUUGGGUGUAAAGGGCGUGUAGGCGGGAGCGCAAGUCAGAGGUGAAAACUCAGGGCUCAACCCUGAGCCUGCAUUUGAAACUGUGUUUCUUGAGUGCUGGAGAGGCAAUCGGAAUUCCGUGUGUAGCGGUGAAAUGCGUCGAUAUACGGAGGAACACCAGUGGCGAAGGCGGAUUGCUGGACAGUACCUGACGCUGAGGCGCGAAAGCGUGGGGAGCAAACAGGAUUAGAUACCCUAGUAGUC
rnacentral:rRNA from 1 species